AAACCAACCAGGGAUUGCCUUAGUACGGCGAGUGAAGCGGCAAAAGCUCAAAUUUGAAAUCUGGCACUUUCAGUGUCCGAGUUGUAAUUUGAAGAAGGUAACUCUGGAGUUGGCCCUUGUCUAUGUUCCUUGGAACAGGACGUCACAGAGGGUGAGAAUCCCGUGCGAUGGGGUGUCCAAUUCUAUGUAGAGUGCUUUCGAAGAGUCGAGUUGUUUGGGAAUGCAGCUCUAAGUGGGUGGUAAAUUCCAUCUAAAGCUAAAUAUUGGCGAGAGACCGAUAGCGAACAAGUACAGUGAUGGAAAGAUGAAAAGAACUUUGAAAAGAGAGUGAAAAAGUACGUGAAAUUGUUGAAAGGGAAGGGCUUGAGAUCAGACUCGGUAUUUUGCGAUCCUAUCCUUCGUGGAGAGGUUUCAUUUGCAGCUUACCGGGCCAGCAUCGGUUUGGAUGGUAGGAUAAUGACAUUGGAAUGUGGCUCUUCGGAGUGUUAUAGCCCUUGUUGAUACUGCCUAUCUAGACCGAGGACUGCGUCUUUGACUAGGAUGCUGGCAUAAUGAUCUUAAGCGCCCGUCU
rnacentral:rRNA from 2 species